AGUCCUCACUGGCUAAUCUUUAUGGAGUCAACUUCACUGACAGAGUUAUUGGAAAUAGGGGAUGCUGGGAGAAAGAGCGGAGGAGGCAGCGAGUGUUUUGAAAUGCAAGUGCAGCAGCAGCUCCCAGUCCUGUGAUGGGCAACAUGCCGCCCAAUGACGGCAUGCCAGGUGGACCCAUGCCUCCCGGCUUCUUUCAAGGCCCACCCGGGUCACAACCAUCACCACACUCACAGCCCCCUCCACACAACCCUAACAACCCCAUGAUGGGGCCACAUGGCCAGGUAAGACCCCUUGAUCCCUAUUUUUGUGUACUUCCUCACACAUAACCUGUAGAAUAGGCAUGGAU